rnacentral:lncRNA from 1 species
CUGGAAUAAGAAUGCGACCGCCAAAGGGUUCAGCCUUGGGCAUUUCCAGGCCUCUCUUCUUCCUGUGUCUUCGGUCAGGACACCCCAAUCAGGGCACUUCCUCCACUUGUGUCUCUCGGGUAGACUGUCCUCCCGAACCUUCUGUAUCUCUCUAAAUCUCACACACCCUCCAGGCUCAGCUCAAGAUCCCUGCCUGAAGCUUUCUCCCAGUCUUCUAACUCAUUGACCCUCCCACUGGAACAACACUGAGACUUUCCAAGAGGGUGAGAAUGGUUUUCUAAAGCCAUCAAUCUUCACGUGUGUACUUUCUUCAAGAUGAUGUGCCUGUGAACGUGUCCCUGUCACGCUGCUUCUCAGAACUACUGCCCCCUUCAUACCCACCUUUAUAAGAGAAAGGCCAGCCUUCACCCUUCUAGAAUUCUAACCAUGUUGCCUGGAUUCAGGAUGAAAAAGGUGCUCUGGGGCAUCGAGCAAGACAUGGUCCAUGGAUGAAAACCAUUGAAGGCCUCCAUAAUGAUCUUGUAUCUCACUUUGGAAUAGAGCUUCUAUUAUCUUGGGACCUCAGCCAAAGCUAAGUAAUUUUAAUAUCUUUGUGUGUGUCUGUGCACUUGUGCAUGUGCACACGCACACACGUCUGAUGACACACUGCAAAUUGCUAGCAGUGCUAACUCCCAAGGUGGGAAAAUGAGCAGUGAGUGGUCAAAAGGGACUUCAACUUUAUCUGUAUUGCUUCAAUUUUUAUAGUGACAAUAUAUCCAUGUAUUACUUGUGUAAUUAAAAAGAAAUGAAAUUAAAUAUACUCUAGCGUGUGCUGGAUGAGUUUCUGCAACUUAAUUUCCAUCUGCCAAUGAAAUAAAUCUGAAACCUUUUAUUUGGGUUAAUAGCCCAAUUUGAUGUGUUGCUCUGUUGGAAGAAAACCAAAUUGUGAGGCGCUUUUCGGGGUUCUGUGUUGCAGAUUGCUCUCACGGUCUCAUGGUGUUUAUUCCUUUCAGGUACGUACUUAGGGUGUAAUAUACAUUUGCCCUGGUAAUUUGACUUCCUGGCCCCUGGCCAACCUAAGGAAAUAGAUGGCAAAGCCAGCAAUUCCUGUCUUGCAAACAUGAGAAAAUACAUAGCUACCUGGUCCGUUUCCAGUUGGAGGCAAAAACCCAGAUCCAUCCUCGAGAGAAGGACGCAUUGAUGCUGCAGGAGUAAUAUCUUAGACCACGCACACAUUGAACCAACCAGCGGGGAUCAUAUUUAUUAAGAAAGAGGAGGAGCAACACAGGAGUGAAAAUAGACGCCAGGCCAUGCUGGAAGCUGUGACAUGUGCUGCUGGCAGUGAGGAAUCUCUGAUGUUAUAAAGCUCAAAGGGGAGGAUUGGCCACAAAACACAGAAAAGCUGAGGACACACAAGUCCUGACAGUGGGAGAGAAGCCUCAGCAGAACCUCAGACUAAUUUCAAUCUCGGAAUUCAGAGGGGGUGAUAAGAGUGAGAUCCUGCAUAAGUAAUUAAGUGAAAGAUAACGGGAGACCUGUUCCAUUCCCCAUUUUCAGAGAAGCCAAUGUAGGUGUCUGCCUUAACUAGAAGCCAGGGUUAGGAUUCUCUUAACUUGGAGUGCUUACAGGAACAGAAAGGAACUUUGUUAACUGGAUAAAAGUUAUUAAUCAGCGAGCCAUGCAAAUAUGAUGUGUACUGAUGAGAUAACAGAAGCCUUCCUGCUAAUGUGAGACAUGAGGAAAGUGAGGCACAGUUGUGCCCUGCCCAAGGACACAUGAAAGGACCAGGAGGCAUCUGAAAGCAUCACUCAGACUCUCGAGUCCCACUCUGCCACCAAGCUUACUGGCCUCCCUAGGAUCAGUGGUGUAAUCCCCAGGACUGCACUCCUCGCCACGGUGCUCAUUGGCUUGCAUAAUCAAGGCUUCCUGGUCUUUUGUUGAAGGUUUCACAUGCAGAAGAAGCUUCAUGGACCCAUCCCACAGGAAGGAUUUCCAGUAGGAAGGCCGAGGUGUUACCUGGCAGCUGACUCUCAGUUAUACAUAACCCCCACCUCCGGGACCUGGUGAUCUGACAAAGGAGAAGAUAAAUUCGUGGCAUCUAUGGCUUUCAGUUUACUCAUUUAAUAUUUCCCUGGUGCCUCUAUUAGUCUUGUACCAUCUGUGGGAAGACAGGAGAUGCUGCCUAAAGCAUAUUUCUUUCUGUCCAUGCAAGUGGUGGGGUUCAGGGCAGGCUGCCCCCAAGAAGCAGCUCUGGUGUGCGGACUGUUUCAAGCUGAAGACAGUAAAGGCUCAGAAGACUCAGGAAGAGCAUCCGACCUUCCCCCACAAACCGCCUAAGACUUUAUACAUAGACGGCCUGUUCCAGGAGGGAGCUCAUACCAUCUGAUAGCUAUAGUACGAUGUAAAAUUGGUGUGAUAAAAGGACACCAACAAACCCAUUUUCUGGCCCAGCAAAGCCUGUUUAACAAACAUUUGCAUUCCAUCUCUACGUAAAUUGUCUUCCUCCUCGUUGAAGCCCCAAAUCACUAUACCCAACAUCCUCCUUGCCUGUAGCUGAACAUACUUAAACAGGUAGCCUCGGCCACAUGGCUGAGUUACUCAGUUUCUCCUGGGUUUCUCCCAUGUAUACAUGCUAUUAAACUUUGUUUGAUUUUCUCCUGCUAACCUGCCUCUUUAAUUAUUUGACCAGCCAUAAGAACUUUAAGGAAAAGCGGGGGGAAUUCUGC